GAGUUUGAUCGUGGCUCAGGACGAACGCUGGCGGCAUGCCUAACACAUGCAAGUCGAACGGGGGUAGCAAUACCCUAGUGGCGAACGGGUGAGUAACACGUGAGCAACCUGCCUUAUACAACGGGAUACCUGCGAGAAAUCGUAGUUAAUACGGUAUAAGACCACACUCUGGCAUCGGAGAGGGGUAAAAGAUUUAUCGGUAUAAGAUGGGCUCGCGGCGCAUUAGCUAGUUGGUACGGUAACGGCGUACCAAGGCGACGAUGCGUAGCCGACCUGAGAGGGUGAUCGGCCACACUGGGACUGAGAUACGGCCCAGACUCCUACGGGAGGCAGCAGUGGGGAAUAUUGGGCAAUGGGCGCAAGCCUUACCCAGCAAUGCCGCGUGAAUGAAGAAGGUCUUCGGAUUGUA
rnacentral:rRNA from 1 species